rnacentral:rRNA from 1 species
AGGACGAACGCUGGCGGCGUGCCUAACACAUGCAAGUCGAACGAGGUCCAUCCGGUAGCAAUACUGGUGAAGAUCAAGUGGCGAACGGGUGAGUAGCACGUGAGCAACCUGCCCCGAAGACCGGGACAACACCGGGAAACCGGUGCUAAUACCGGAUAUCCCCACCGAGUCGCAUGACUUGGUGGGGAAAUGGAUUCCGCUUUGGGAGGGGCUCGCGGCCUAUCAGCUUGUUGGUGAGGUAACGGCUCACCAAGGCUUCGACGGGUAGCUGGUCUGAGAGGACGAUCAGCCACACUGGGACUGAGACACGGCCCAGACUCCUACGGGAGGCAGCAGUGGGGAAUCUUGCACAAUGGGCGAAAGCCUGAUGCAGCAACGCCGCGUGAGGGACGAAGGCUUUCUGAGUUGUAAACCUCUUUCAGCAGGGACGAUUGUGACGGUACCUGCAGAAGAAGCCCGGCAACUACGUGCCAGCAGCCGCGGUAAU